rnacentral:misc_RNA from 1 species
GAUGAAGAACGCAGCGAAAUGCGAUAAGUAAUGUGAAUUGCAGAAUUCAGUGAAUCAUCGAAUCUUUGAACGCACAUUGCGCCCGCCAGUAUUCUGGCGGGCAUGCCUGUUCGAGCGUCAUUUCAACCAUCAAGCCCCAGGCUUGUGUUGGGGACCUGCGGCUGCCGCAGGCCCUGAAAACCAGUGGCGGGCUCGCUGUCACACCGGGCGUAGUAGAUUUUAUCUCGCUCAGGGCGUGCUGCGGGUUCCGGCCGUUAAAGAGCCUUUUUUACCCAAGGUUGACCUCGGAUCAGGUAGGAAUACCCGCUGAACUUAAGCAUAUCAAUAAGCGGAGGA